rnacentral:rRNA from 1 species
UACGGGGGGAGCAAGCGUUGUUCGGAUUUACUGGGCGUAAAGGGCGCGUAGGCGGUCAGCACAAGUCAGUUGGGAAAUCUCCGGGCUUAACUCGGAAAGGUCAACUGAUACUGUGCGACUAGAGUGCAGAAGGGGCAACUGGAAUUCUCGGUGUAGCGGUGAAAUGCGUAGAUAUCGAGAGGAACACCUGCGGCGAAGGCGGGUUGCUGGGCUGACACUGACGCUGAGUGAGCGAAAGCCAGGGGAGCAAACGGG